rnacentral:rRNA from 1 species
AAUGAUUUUUUAAAUUGCUGUGGUAUUAUGACUAUACGAAGGUAUUGAAAUAAGACUUUAAUUGAGUGCUAAGAGAAUGGUUUAACAAAAAUAGGCUUUUUUUUUAUUUAAAAUUGAAGUUAAUUUAAAAACGAAAAAGUUUUUAUGAAAUUUUAGGACAAGAAGACCCUAUGAAUUUUUUUAAAAAGCUUUUUUUUAGGCUUUUUUAAAAAAAUUUUAGAUAAGUUUUUAAUUAAUUGGGGCGAUUUUUAAAUUUUUAGAAACUUUAAAGAUAUGAUAUUGGAUCCAAUAUUAUUGAUAUAUUAAAUAAAAUACUCUAGGGAUAACAGCGUUAUUACUUUGGAUAGUUCAUAUAGAUAAAGUAGAUUGCGACCUCGAUGUUGGAUUAGGAUACCUUUAUUAGUGAAGAAGUUAUAAAAGGAGGUUUGCUCAACCUUUAAAUUCCUACA